UGCUAGGAUUAUAGGCGUGAGCCACCACACCCAGCCCCAAAAUUUUUGUUCUUUUCAAGAUGUUGAGAAAAAAACUGUUCACUUUCUUUAAAUACCAUUAAUAUGAUUAUUAAAACAUUAAUAAAUGUUGAAUUAAUUUCUUCCUAAAUAAUCAUGGAGCAAAAUAUUGAGGUACUCAGGAAUGGAAUUUUAAGCAGCUUCUAUAAUUUGGUCUACUUUUCUAUCAAGAUCUCAUAAAAUUUGCCACCAUUAAAAAGCAGCUAGUAUCAUACUAGGAGUGCCUAGCGGAAUUUUAAUGUAACAUUCCCCAUCACAUUUUCUUUCUUACUCCUUCAGUCAUUCCGUUGUCUUAUUUGUGUAUAUGUCUGUCAUUCUCUAACAGCAGAAACCGUGCCUUUUUUUUCCUCCUCUAUUCCAUGACAGAAACCCAGACAAUUUGCUAAAUAGAAAACUUUUAAUGAAGGGGUACCCAGUUUAGAGAUAAAAAUAUAAUAUGCCAUCUCCAGAAAGAACAAUUCAAAGUAUAAAUAAUCAGAAUUACAUGAACUUGCAAUUUGUCAUAUUUGGUUCUAACUAGUUUAAUUAAUUAAACUAAUUCCUAUACUUUGCCGUCACUCUGGUUAAGGUUUGGCCAGUUUUGCAUAUACUUGCAUGGCAAAAUGCAUGACAAUAGAUAUUUAAGUAUUUUUCUCAUUUUUUUUUUAAAUAUGGGGUUGGAAAAUACUAACAUUUUAAUUUAUACUGUUUUUCCCUUCUGCUCACUGAAAAGAAUUAAUGAAAAUCAUUCAGGAAUAUAUUCCACAGAAAAGGUUUGCAAAAACUUGAGAUAUAUUUUAGUAGAAUUUGAGUUUGUCCACAUUCUUUGGCUGUUCAAUUUAGUGUGUAACAUAUUUGAAUAUUCAAUUAUUAUAGUUAAUAUAUUUUUUCUUUUAUAUGAGAAUUUUAAUGACAGAACUCUACUGAUAAUCCUUCUCAUAGGACAGUGGCAUACUAUCACAUCUAUCAAAGAAAAUGUGAAAAGUGCCUGAAAUGUGCUACUGAUCAACCAAUAGCAGUGAAAACUCACAUAUGGUACACAUUCCAUUUGGAUCACAAAAGCAAAGCCAAACAUCUCGGUAAGUGGGAGGAAGUAACUGAUGAACUGACUAAAGGAAAAACAGAGGUUAAUAAGUGACAGCAGAUUAGAAGCAUAAAACUAUGGACUGCAGAAGGAAACACAACUGUUAAAAGAAGGAAAAAGAGACAAUUAAGCAAGCAUAUCUAGCCGAAUUUUGGUACCAUUUUGUGUAAAGACAAAUAUCAAUACAGUGUAACAGACAGGAGGGUUAGCUACCACCUCAAAUUCACCCAAAUAAUACUUAUCCUUUCCAUCUUUCCUGUACUUGGCAAUGAUACCACCAUCCCUCCACUUAUGCACCUCUUGCCAUCUUUGGCACAUUUUUCCCCCAUAAAAUUUGUCAUCUUAACCAUUUUUAAGUGUACAGUUCAGUGGUAUUAAAUACAUUCAUAAUGUUGUACAACCAGCACCACCAUCCAUUUCCAGAACGCUUUUUAUCUGGCAAACAUGAAACUCUAUUCCCAUUAAGCAUAACUACCCAUUCUCCCAUCCCCCACUAGCCCCUGGCAACCACCAUUCUACUUUGUCUCUAUGAAUUUGACUUAGGAACCUCA
rnacentral:lncRNA from 1 species